rnacentral:rRNA from 1 species
AAGGCUAAAACUCAAAGGAAUGACGGGGGCCCGCACAACGCGGAGCAUCGGAUUAAUUCGAUGCAACGCGAAGAACCUUACCAAGGCUUGACAUACACUAGACCGGCCUGGAAACAGGUCCUCCUCUUUGAGGUUGGUGUACAGGUGGUGCAUGGUUGUCGUCAGCUCGUGUCGUGAGAUGUUGGGUUAAGUCCCGCAACGAGCGCAACCCUCGUUCUAUGUUGCCAGCACGUAAUGGUGGGAACUCAUAGGAGACUGCCGGGGUCAACUCGGAGGAAGGUGGGGAUGACGUCAAAUCAUCAUGCCCUUUAUGUCUUGGGCUUCACGCAUGCUACAAUGGCUGGUACAGAGAGAUGCGAGACCGCGAGGUUUUAGCGAAUCCCUUAAAGCCAGUCUCAGUUCGGAUCGUAGUCUGCAAUUCGACUACGUGAAGUCGGAGUCGCUAGUAAUCGCAGAUCAGCAACGCUGCGGUGAAUACGUUCCCGGGCCUUGUACACACCGCCCGUCAAGUCACGAAAGUCGGUAACACCCGAAGCCGGUGGCCCAACCCCCUUGUGGGGAGGGGGCCGUCUAAGGUGGGACUGGCACAUUGGGACUAAGUCGUAACAAGGUAGCCGUACCGGAAGGUGCGGCUGGAUCACCUCCUUAAU